rnacentral:rRNA from 1 species
UAACAUCAAAUCGUACCCCAAACCGACACAGGUGGUCAGGUAGAGAAUACCAAGGCGCUUGAGAGAACUCGGGUGAAGGAACUAGGCAAAAUGGUGCCGUAACUUCGGGAGAAGGCACGCUGAUAUGUAGGUGAAGUCCCUCGCGGAUGGAGCUGAAAUCAGUCGAAGAUACCAGCUGGCUGCAACUGUUUAUUAAAAACACAGCACUGUGCAAACACGAAAGUGGACGUAUACGGUGUGACGCCUGCCCGGUGCCGGAAGGUUAAUUGAUGGGGUCAGCGCAAGCGAAGCUCUUGAUCGAAGCCCCGGUAAACGGCGGCCGUAACUAUAACGGUCCUAAGGUAGCGAAAUUCCUUGUCGGGUAAGUUCCGACCUGCACGAAUGGCGUAAUGAUGGCCAGGCUGUCUCCACCCGAGACUCAGUGAAAUUGAACUCGCUGUGAAGAUGCAGUGUACCCGCGGCAAGACGGAAAGACCCCGUGAACCUUUACUAUAGCUUGACACUGAACAUUGAGCCUUGAUGUGUAGGAUAGGUGGGAGGCUUUGAAGUGUGGACGCCAGUCUGCAUGGAGCCGACCUUGAAAUACCACCCUUUAAUGUUUGAUGUUCUAACGUGGACCCGUGAUCCGGGUUGCGGACAGUGUCUGGUGGGUAGUUUGACUGGGGCGGUCUCCUCCUAAAGAGUAACGGAGGAGCACGAAGGUUGGCUAAUCCUGGUCGGACAUCAGGAGGUUAGUGCAAUGGCAUAAGCCAGCUUGACUGCGAGCGUGACGGCGCGAGCAGGUGCGAAAGCAGGUCAUAGUGAUCCGGUGGUUCUGAAUGGAAGGGCCAUCGCUCAACGGAUAAAAGGUACUCCGGGGAUAACAGGCUGAUACCGCCCAAGAGUUCAUAUCGACGGCGGUGUUUGGCACCUCGAUGUCGGCUCAUCACAUCCUGGGGCUGAAGUAGGUCCCAAGGGUAUGGCUGUUCGCCAUUUAAAGUGGUACGCGAGCUGGGUUUAGAACGUCGUGAGACAGUUCGGUCCCUAUCUGCCGUGGGCGCUGGAGAACUGAGGGGGGCUGCUCCUAGUACGAGAGGACCGGAGUGGACGCAUCACUGGUGUUCGGGUUGUCAUGCCAAUGGCACUGCCCGGUAGCUAAAUGCGGAAGAGAUAAGUGCUGAAAGCAUCUAAGCACGAAACUUGCCCCGAGAUGAGUUCUCCCUGACCCUUUAAGGGUCCUGAAGGAACGUUGAAGACGACGACGUUGAUAGGCCGGGUGUGUAAGCGCAGCGAUGCGUUGAGCUAACCGGUACUAAUGAACCGUGAGGCUUAACCUU